UUUAGUCAAAAAUCCUCUAUUUUUAGGGGUUUUUCAGUCGUAACUUGGCCAAAUCAAGACGUACAGCCAAAAGAGUGACAGUUUUGAUCAGCUGGCGACCCAAGGUAUCGAAUUCAAUCACUUUAAGGGACAUUUAUUUUUUGACCCAUUUUUUCAUUUUUUGUAAGGGGUUGUAUCGUGAUUUUUUGAAAUUCCGAUUUUAGUCAAAAAUCCUCUAUUUUUAGGGGUUUUUCAGUCGUAACUUGGCCAAAUCAAGACGUACAGCCAAAAGAGUGACAGUUUUGAUCAGCUGGCGACCCAAGGUAUCGAAUUCAAUCACUUUAAGGGACAUUUAUUUUUUGACCCAUUUUUUCAUUUUUUGUAAGGGGUUGUAUCGUGAUUUUUUGAAAUUCCGAUUUUAGUCAAAAAUCCUCUAUUUUUAGGGGUUUUUCAGUCGUAACUUGGCCAAAUCAAGACGUACAGCCAAAAGAGCGACAGUUUUGAUCAGCUGGCGA